UGUGGAUCAAGGCUGGAGGAUGACAAGCUCCUGACUGAUAGAUACAUGGAGACUUCGCUGGUGAUUUAUUGGCUUUCUGCACCUGACGAGAACCACUAGGCCUAUCUGAGGAGGGAAAUAUAUGGGCUUUCCUGACUCCAAGUGGCAGCCCCGGGGCGAGCAUGUGAUGUCAAGCUGGGCAGAGGAAAGCGGAGCUGUGCACCGGCCUGUGUACUGUAAGCCGGCCCGGGUCGUAAAAGUGUCAGCACGCGAUAUAUUUCUUGCAGGGGAUCCUCUCUGGCUCUUGCCAGCGCCUCUCCCCCGUGGCUGGCAGCCGCCCUAGCCGGGCCUGCAAACAGCGGAUGCCCCAGGUCGCUAUCCCUCCGCCCUGCCCCGGAGCGCCGGGCCCUCACGUUCUCGCUCCAGCCUGGGGUCUCUCACGUGGCAUCUGGCCCUGGGGACGGUGCAGCGGAGGAGUUAAUUGCUGUCACUCCUGACUUCAGCGAAAGAGGUCGAUCGUGGGGCUUCUUCCUCGGGGUUAGCAGGGGCCUGGAGUGGAUGUUUAGUCUACCGGUCAGACUCCAGGUCUUAUAUCUUGAAACUGUAAGUCCCUGAAUUCACAGACAAUUCAGAGUAAGGAUGGAGGCAAAGAAGAGGACCUUGGGUUUACUGUUCACGAGAUGACCUCAUAAAGGUGUUCAGUGAUGAAGAGGAGUGGCUGAAGAGAUGGCUGUCUAGAGUCAACACAAACCUACCCCAAAGUUUGACCUUUGCCUUAAGUCAGUAACUGAGGAGGGCCACGGUCCUGAGUUCAGUCCAGACCCCAGGAAGAUUCAGAGCCUGCAGUUGUCCUCUGGUUUCUAAAGUAUGUUAUUGGGCUAAAGAUUUCAAGACAUUUAUCCUUCUUUGCUUUCUAUCGCAGCCAUUAAAUGUUUUAGAUAUUUUCUGCCAGAAGGCAGGAAUCAUGAAGAUAACAAAUAUUAAAGACAAAACCAAAUAACUUUUAAUGAGAAGGUCAGUCCGUGGUUUGAGUCUUUGGAAAGAAAUCAAGAACUCUGACUAUACUUGCUAUUUGACCAUUGAUUCUCUAGUGGAAAUGGGCAAAUCUUUUAUACCAGGGCAAAUUUUUCAGUAACGGGCCAGACAGCAAAUAUUUUAGGAAUUGUGGGCCAUACAGUCUCUCUCCCAACUACUUAACUCUUCAGCAUAGCAUAAAAGCAGCCAUAAACAAUACUACAACAAGUAUGGCUGCAUUCCAAUAAAACUUUAUUUACAAAAAUAGGCAGCACGCCAGAUUUGGCCCACAAGCUAUAGCUUUCUGACCCCUGCUUUGCCAAACUCAAUAACAAACAGAGAGGGAGACUCUUUUAAAAAAAUUAUAUUCAUUUGGGAGUAGCAUUGCAAUGGGAAUACGUGUGCCAUAGCAAAUUAUGAGCGUAUUCAAAGAGAUUGGGGCAAGGGGAAGUUUAUAAAGGCAAAACGAAGAGGAUUACAAUUGUUCAAAUCAAUUAUCCUUGGCUACAAGGGUGGCACAAGUCCAAGCUUGAACAGGCAGUUGCUAGACAGACAUCCUUACAGAAGUAUUUUCUGUGUAAGGUUGCAGUGGUCUUUUUGCAAAGCUAUAGUAAAUCACAGGGGUCAGUACAACCGUAGUGCAAUGGAUAAGCCUUGCCCUCGGAAAAUCUUCGUGAUCAUGGUAUCUCCCCUGCCAAAUAAAUAUUGUGACAGUUCUUAUCAGGCAUUCAUGUGUAAGAACUCUCCCUUGAUGGCCUUCCCUGGCUCCAUUUGCCAGGGUUUUAACAUAAAUUACUCCAUUUUGAUUCGGACAACUUUCAUAACUGCUUACCAUCUGUGCCUCUGUGUAUAAAAGUGGACAUACUAAAAUUUUUCCUUAGGGCUACAACUAAACAUCCAGCCUAGCCCUUAGCCAGCACCAAGGAAGAGGCCUGGGGGAUAGAGGAACAAAUAAUGAGACCAAGUCAGGCCAUCCCCCAUGGGGUGAGGCCUGCAGGUAGGUGGGCCCAGUGUGGUGUACCUCUAGCACAGUGCCUGGCACAAAAUUGCAGUUUAUUUUCUGAAUAAAUAACUCUUGGAUCAAUUGGUUGCUCUCUGGGAAUGUGACUUUGCUGUUGAGUUGUGCAGAGUACUCUCUGUCUCCAAGCCAAUCCCAGCUUCAGUAUCUCACCCCACAAUCCACAUUUCCCAGUGUCUGGAGUAACAACAAUGACCUGGGGCUGGGCUCUCAGCAAGUCAAACCCUGCCUCAACAAACCCAAACUGCUUUGGGGACCAAUGUGAUGCAAAUGUGUACUGAAUCCCCUGAAUUCCCCCUGGUGAUCCUGUCCUGUAACAGGCCCUCCCCAUCCCCUCAGGCCAGUGCAUUCAGGAAAUCAGUGACCACAGGAUGGUUUCUCAGCUGGAGGGAAGGUCAGCCUGCAUCUGAGCAUCUUAGAACAUGUUAUUUUGUUCCCACUGGUCAAUCCCGUCCAAGCUGUACACAUAGUGCCUAAGCCACGUUUGUUACUGCAGGCCUGUCUUCGGAAAGGUCACUGAACAGAAGGAGGAGGC
rnacentral:lncRNA from 1 species